GGAUGGGUUACUUAUUUUAACUCACUAGUCAUGUCAAUGAAACGGCCGACUUCCUCUUUUCCUCAAGAUUGUGCAACAGCUCUGCAGCAGCUUAAAUCAGUUUCUCUGUCUAGUUUUUCUAACUAUUGAAUAUAAAAACGCUCCGUAUAGUGUCCUAGUAGUGUCCUAGUAGUGUCCUAGUGGUGUCCUAGUAGUGUCCUUUAAAUUCUCAUUUAAAAUGAGCUUGUAGCUGGUUGUGUACCUCACUACGGUUAGAAAGAGUCCUCGUUGGUGUUUAAACUACAUUUCCUUUAUGAGUUAUUGAUCUGGGAAGUUCAAAUCUGUCAAUAUGUUUCCAGUUUUAUUGAACUAGUUCAGUUCUGCAUUACUCUUCCACGAUGCAAAAGUGAAUAAACUCUUCAUCUGUAGAACGGUGUUGAAUAUGUUUACCAGUAUUAUUUUGGCUCGUGGUACACACAUUCACCAGGAUGUUAAUUAUCUCCUCAUUAUUUAGGAUUGCUGAUACUAGAUGUACUGCUGACUCGCUCAUACUGACACACACAUCUAGCAGCACCAACAUCUGUACGGAUAAUGACCUAAAACACAAGACCAUAUAUUCAGAUUCACUCAAUAUAUUCAGUGUUAGUUCAAUAUUCUCAAAUUUCACAUUAUAUAUAUAAUAAUUUCCUGAACGGCAUGCCAUAUAUAUAUAUACAUAUAUAUAUAUAUAUGUAUAUAUAUAUAUAUAUAUAUUUGUGUGUGUGUGUUGGUGUGAGGAUUGGUGGACAGCAUCGAUGACAUCAGAGGACGAGGGAGGGGAAAAUGAACGCUGCUGAAGCGACACCAGUCAUCACCAGGGAAAUCCCCAGAUGCUGGAGAAUUACAACCGAGUUAAUCAUGAAAACACUGAAACUCACUGAACCUCUGGAACUGGAACUGGAAACAGUUUGCUGCGUGAAAGUUAAACCUCAAGUUAACCUCAAGGGAGGAAACGGGAAACCACCACCUGCAGCAGGAUUGUUGGGUGUUGCUCAGAGUCACGUAGUUUGUUUCUGUGGUGCGACAGAAGAGACUCAAGGAUGAAGAUGAUCUGCAGCAUCCUGCUGCUCCUCAGUCUGACCUCCUGUGUCUCU